rnacentral:tRNA from 1 species
GGGGCUAUAGCUCAGUUUGGGAGAGCGCUACACUUGCACUGUAGAGGUCAGCGGUUCGAUCCCGCUUAGCUCCACCA